rnacentral:rRNA from 1 species
UACGGGGGGGGCAAGCGUUGUUCGGAAUUACUGGGCGUAAAGGGCUCGUAGGCGGCCAACUAAGUCGGAUGUGAAAUCCCCAGGCUCAACCUGGGAACUGCAUCCGAUACUGGAUGGCUUGAAUUCGGGAGAGGGAUGCAGAAUUCCAGGUGUAGCGGUGAAAUGCGUAGAUAUCUGGAGGAAUACCGGUGGCGAAGGCGGCUCUCUGGGCCUUACCUGACGCUGAGGAGCGAAAGCGUGGGUAGCGAACAGG